rnacentral:rRNA from 1 species
GAAGGUGGCUAGCGUUGUUCGGUGUCACUGGGCUUAAAGAGUAUGUAGGCGGAAAAGUAAGCGUUUUGUGAAAUCCCUCGGGCUUAACCGAGGAAUUGCUUAGCGAACUACUUUUCUUGAGGCAAGUAGGGGUGCAUGGAACUCUUGGUGGAGCGGUGGAAUGCGUAGAUAUCAAGAGGAACGCCAAUGGAGAAAUCAGUGCACUGGGCUUGUCCUGACGCUGAGAUACGAAAGCGUGGGGAGCGAACGGGAUUAGAUACCCCGGUAGUCCACGCCGUAAACGAUGUCUACUAGGUUGCGGGAGUUCUGACACUAUCGCGACCGAAGCAAAAGUGUUAAGUAGACCGCCUGGGGAGUACGGCCGCAAAGGCUA